UACGGAGGAUGCAAGCGUUAUUCGGAAUGAUUGGGCGUAAAGCGUCCGCAGGUGGCUAUGUAAGUCUGCUGUUAAAGAGUCGAGCUCAACUAGAUAAGAGCAGUGCAGACUACAUAGCUAGAGUACGUUCGGGGCAGGGGGAAUUCCUGGUGUAGCGGUGAAAUGCGUAGAGAUCAGGAAGAAUACCGGUGGCGAAGGCAGCCUCUUAGGCCUGAACUGACGCUCAGGGGCGAAAGCGAGGGGAGCGAAUGGG
rnacentral:rRNA from 1 species